CGAAUCUCCAAACAUGAAGCUGUUCAUCGUUCUUCUUCUGGUUAGCUGCCUCUCUUUGACGCUGCUGCCAGCUACCGUUGAAGCCAUUCGUGGACUGGGCUGCCCGUGCAAGUACCGAUGUGAUAGAUGGGAGACCGAUAAGGGAAGCUGUGGAUACCUGAGGAGGUGCUGCUCAAGAGGCUGGAUCGGCUAAUGAGGCAAUGAAUAAGUAAACGAAAACAUCCUUACACAUAUAUCUACACGAUUUGUGUUUUGUUUGUGAUGAAAAUAAAGUUUCGUUGUGAAAAAUCUA